GGAAGGGCAGGGCCCCACAGCCCCGCAAGCGCAAGCGCAUCUUCCGAGUCCUAACCGCCUCUCACAGUGCCGCAGGCCUGGGCCUGGGGACCCUCAGCUCCACAUGGCAGCGCUGCGAGAGGAGCUCAGACAGCACAGCUUCUGGAGGCAGGUCCUGCCCGCCUCGCUGAGAUCACCCAGUGUCUCUGCUACUUGGUGGCCCUGUGACCUUGGUACAAUGACCUACUUACCUGCUCCCAGGCAAUGCUAACCCUGUCUAAAGUGAUGCCCAGGAUUCAGGCAGCCAUGACAAGGUCCCCAGGAGCCCAGGUGACGGCCCUCCCAGCUCCCCGAAGUAAGAGGAACAGUCACGUGACUUGACUUGGCCCGCAC